UACGAGAGGCCCAAACGUUAUUCGGAAUUACUGGGCGUAAAGCGCGUGUAGGCUGCUUCGCAAGUCGGAUGUGAAAGCCCUGGGCUCAACCCAGGAAGUGCAUUCGAAACUGCAGAGCUGGAGUCCUGGAGAGGAAGGCGGAAUUCUCGGUGUAGAGGUGAAAUUCGUAGAUAUCGAGAGGAACACCGGUGGCGAAGGCGGCCUUCUGGACAGUGACUGACGCUGAGACGCGAAAGCGUGGGGAGCAAACAGG
rnacentral:rRNA from 1 species